UGGUAGUCCACGCCGUAAACGAUGAUCACUAGACGUUAGUUCUGCUUGCAGAAUUAGUGUCGCAGCUAACGCGUUAAGUGAUCCGCCUGGGGAGUACGGUCGCAAGGCUAAAACUCAAAGGAAUUGACGGGGGUCCGCACAAGCGAUGGAACAUGUGGUUUAAUUCGACACUACGCGAGAAACCUUACCUAGGUUUGACAUGUAUUUGAUCGUUGUAGAAAUACAAUUUUUCAAAUUUCGGUUUGAACAGGUACACAGGUGCUGCAUGGCUGUCGUCAGCUCGUGUCGUGAGACGUUAGGUUAAGUCCUCUAACGAGCGCAACUCUUACUUCCAGUUGCUAUUUACCUUCGGGUAAAGCACUCUGGAGGAACUGCCUGGGAAACCAGGAGGAAGGUGAGAAUGACGUCAAGUCAUCAUGGUCCUUAUGCCUAGGGCUACACACGUGUUACAAUGGCCAGUACAAAGGGCUGCAAACUUGCAAAAGUAAGCUAAUCCCAUAAAGCUGGUCUAAGUUCGGAUUGAGGUCUGCAACUCGACCUCAUGAAGUUGAAAUCGCUAGUAAUCGCAUAUCAGAACGAUGCGGUGAAUACGUUCUCGGACCUUGUACACACCGCCCGUCACACCACGAAAGUUAUUUGUACCCGAAGCCGUUUUAGCUAACCCGUAAGGGGGGCGAGCGUCUAAGGUAUGGGUGAUGAUUGGGGUGAAGUCGUAACAAGGUA
rnacentral:rRNA from 1 species